CCCAAAAAGACUGGCGACCGGCGCACGGGUGAGUAACACGUAUCCAACCUGCCGAUAACUCGGGGAUAGCCUUUCGAAAGAAAGAUUAAUACCCGAUGGUAUAAUCAGACCGCAUGGUUUGAUUAUUAAAGAAUUUCGGUUAUCGAUGGGGAUGCGUUCCAUUAGGCAGUUGGUGAGGUAACGGCUCACCAAACCUUCGAUGGAUAGGGGUUCUGAGAGGAAGGUCCCCCACAUUGGAACUGAGACACGGUCCAA
rnacentral:rRNA from 1 species